UUAUUGGGCGUAAGCGCGCGCAGGCGGUUUCUUAAGUCUGAUGUGAAAGCCCACGGCUCAACCGUGGAGGGUCAUUGGAAACUGGGGAACUUGAGUGCAGAAGAGAAAAGCGGAAUUCCACGUGUAGCGGUGAAAUGCGUAGAGAUGUGGAGGAACACCAGUGGCGAAGGCGGCUUUUUGGUCUGUAACUGACGCUGAGGCGCGAAAGCGUGGGGAGCAAACAGGAUUAGAUACCCUGGUAGUCCACGCCGUUAAGGAUGAGUGCUAAGUGUUACCGGGUUUCCCCCC
rnacentral:rRNA from 1 species